AUUGAACGCUGGCGGCAGGCUUAACACAUGCAAGUCGAGCGGGGUGAUGGUGCUUGCACUAUCACUUAGCGGCGGACGGGUGAGUAAUGCUUAGGAAUCUGCCUAUUAGUGGGGGACAACAUCUCGAAAGGGAUGCUAAUACCGCAUACGUCCUACGGGAGAAAGCAGGGGAUCACUUGUGACCUUGCGCUAAUAGAUGAGCCUAAGUCGGAUUAGCUAGUUGGUGGGGUAAAGGCCGACCAAGGCGACGAUCUGUAGCGGGUCUGAGAGGAUGAGCCGCCACACUGGGACUGAGGCACGGCCCAGAUGCCGACGGGAGGCAGCAGUGGGGAAUAUUGGACAAUGGGGGGAACCCUGAUCCAGCCAUGCCGCGUGUGUGAAGAAGGCCUUAUGGUUGUAAAGCACUUUAAGCGGGGAGGAGGCUCUUUUGGUUAAUACCCAAGAUGAGUGGACGUUACUCGCAGAAUAAGCACCGGCUAACUCUGUGCCAGCAGCCGCGGUAA
rnacentral:rRNA from 1 species